rnacentral:tRNA from 1 species
GGGGUUGUGGCUCAGCAGUAGAGCACUCUCCUCGCACGUGCUAGGCCCUGGGUUCGAUCCUCAGCACCACA